rnacentral:rRNA from 1 species
GAUGAACGCUGGCGGCGUGCCUAAUACAUGCAAGUCGAGCGAACGGACGAGAAGCUUGCUUCUCUGAUGUUAGCGGCGGACGGGUGAGUAACACGUGGAUAACCUACCUAUAAGACUGGGAUAACUUCGGGAAACCGGAGCUAAUACCGGAUAAUAUUUUGAACCGCAUGGUUCAAAAGUGAAAGACGGUCUUGCUGUCACUUAUAGAUGGAUCCGCGCUGCAUUAGCUAGUUGGUAAGGUAACGGCUUACCAAGGCAACGAUGCAUAGCCGACCUGAGAGGGUGAUCGGCCACUCUGGAACUGAGACACGGUCCAGCCUCCUACGGGAGGCAGCAGUAGGGAAUCUUCCGCAAUGGGCGAAAGCCUGACGGAGCAACGCCGCGUGAGUGAUGAAGGUCUUCGGAUCGUAAAACUCUGUUAUUAGGGAAGAACAUAUUUGUAAGUAACUGUGCACAUCUUGACGGUACCUAAUCAGAAAGCCACGGCUAACUACGUG